UGUGUGUGUGUGUGUGUGUAUGUAUGUAUAUAUAUAUAUAUAAUACAUAUAUAUAUAUAUACAUACAUACACACACACACACACAUC